UGUUUUCUAUUUGACAAUGAACGAUCAAUUUUGGUACAACUGAAAACUGACGCUUUUUCGAAGUUGAGAUUGAGAGUGUUGGUUUGAAUGUGAAAAUAGACAAUUAACAAAUUAUUUCCGUUCUCAACUUCAAGAAAAGUCGCUACUAUCGACUGUGAUAAUUUGCUGGUCAUUCAAAAAUAGUAUUCAAAAUAAAGAAUCCUGGAGCAUUCUAGGAGAGGUUUGGAAAUGGGGGAUAAAGGGGAUGCAGAAACAUUUGAUGAUGCUGUGGAAGAAAGAGUCAUUAAUGAAGAAUACAAAAUAUG